GAACACAAAAUGGCGACACGUGGUUAGCAUUCGUCGCCAACGAGAAAUUGGGGUCGGCCCGAAAGCUCUAGAAUGCACCCCUCUUCCUCCCCGGGGCCUUCCACCUCCGCGAGUUUUAUGACUUAAAAAAGCCCACAGGCUGGUCUGAAGGUCGGAGGCCUAAUUUUAACGCGUUUUCCUCCCUUUAAUUUGAAACGGGAACGCGAAUGACUGUAAAAUGUGGGCACAAUAUUUAAUCUCUCGCCUUUUUAAAGCUUAAUAGUGGAUAAUAGGGGGGCAGUAUCAAGGGAUAAUUUGGGUCCCCACAGUACCAAAGCAUUUAGAAACCUCUGUUUAAUUUAAGGAAUGAGAUAAGUUACUGCUUUUCUAGACUUCCUAGCAUGGGCUGUUGUGCUGGAGAGAACGAGAGCUACGAAGAGACUACAGUGCCUCUGACUUUUUCAUAGGACAGUUGGCCGAGGAAGACAAACAUAAAGAUGAAGUGCUUAAUUCAAGGUCACACAAUGUCGGGGAUGGACCUCCAGAUUUCCUUACUGGAAAACAAGCUCAGGGCUCCCACUGAUUGUACAUUAUGGUGAGACGUGGUCUUGUAACACAGUGGUUAAGAAUGUGACUUUGGAGCCAGCCUGCUAGGGGCUGAAUUCUGACUCAGCCAUUUACUAACUGUGUGACCUUAGGUCACAGAAUUUUCCACACUCCUUGACAGAGGUGCUUAACCCUUAUCCAUCAGCAUUCUCAGACAGCACCUCCGGUUAGGGACAGUAUCUGACCGUCCGACAUCCCUGCAGCCCCCAUGUGUCACACAGACUCAGCCUCAGGUAGAUGGUUUCCGUAGAUGGUGGCUUUCUUUGGACCCUUGACAUCAACCAGUUACUAUUUG
rnacentral:lncRNA from 10 species